rnacentral:lncRNA from 1 species
AAAAAAUGCCUCCUUUGUGAGUCUCUCUGUGAACACGUUAGCACUAUUGUGUAAAUUCACACUGCAAAUUCUCUCUCAAUCACUGACUGAGAAUGUGCAUCCCUUACCAGGUGGUCUAUAGGAGGUAACUUCCCCUCAGUGGAAGAGGCAGUUCAGCUCCCGAACAGGCCACAGCCGCACAGGAUGUGACCUUCAGGGAGCCUGUGCAUCACCUCACAACAACAUGCUUUCUGACCAUGAUGUAAUAGAGGGAAUGUGCCUCUGCAGCAUCUCCUGGUUGUACCAUUAAAAAGACAAACUGCAAUAGCCACUGGGGACUCCCUGCAUUAUUAGAAGGUUCAAGAACACCUACCGAGAGGCAUAACAGCAGCUUUGAGCACAGCAACGAAAACAUAUCACAUGAACAGCCACCGCUAAAACUGGACUCACGCAAUUAAAUACAAUCCUUAGACAACUGAGAAAUGCAGGAUAGCUCAGGUAGUCUGCGGCAGUCCAUAUCUGCUGUAACAGACAGCAGCAUCUACACAGCCAGUGAGCAAACACCUCCAACAAGCUCAGGCUUUUGGGUGCAGGCGCACGGAAAUCCACACAAGGAAUUCUGCAGUGUUUCAAGGACUGCAGCAUCAACAACCAGCAAUUGAGAGAAGAGAUACAUCAUUAAACUUAUUUAUAGCAUUAACUACUUUGCAUUCA